CUCUCGGCCAAAUGUAAAAGGCGGAGCUCGGAGCUGUCUCUUCCUUCCGGGCGGGAGGGUGUCUGGCGGGCGGAGUGCUGCUGUUCACGAGCUCGGACCCGGGCACGUGCUUGGACGUCCCCAGGGAUUGAGGAUUAGAACAUCCCGUGAUCUUUUUAAAACAACUGGAUUUUUAAAAAGUUAAUCACCACGUUGUCUCUUCUCACGUUAAGUCAGAAGAUUGAUCGCUUUUGAUGUCUCUAAGUGUAAAGUUAAAGCUCCCAGGAUCCACACCUUAGAUCCACGCCACAACUGUCACAUGUUCAGAAGUGAUACAGCUUCUCAAAACCACGCAAGGUAUGCAGGAGGACUGGCCGAGCUGAGUGGUGGACAGAUCAAGGCCCUGCCUGCAGCUCCCCACUGUUGGAAGCAGCUGUCUAACAGGGCAAGUGUUUGUUCCCAGAUCUGGAGCACAAUGGUUCAUGAUUCCUCGAUUAAAGUGUUUACUGAACACCCACCAUGUGCCUGGUGGUGGGCUGGGGACUAAGGAAAUGAACAAGCCUGAUCCCACCAAGUCCUCAAGGGGCUCUAGUCUGAAGCAUCAGAACACGUCUGACCAUCUGGCUCAAGUUCAACAAGAAAAGAGAUGUAACGAAACUGUGCAGCUGAGUCCGGGGUGCCACAUUCUCAGUAUCAAGACCUCAGACCGUGGUGGAAGAAUGAAAGGCAGUGAUGCCUGGUGUCCUCCAAAGGUUCUGUGACACCCUGCCUGAUGGCCAAGGGCCUGACCGUGGCUCCUCGGAUGGGUUAUAGUAAUCACACACCCAAUCAUGGAUUACUGGAGUAACUGAAAAGCACCACCAGCAGCAGCUCCUAGCCACCCCAUGGGCGGAUCCUGCAGAUGCUCUGCUGCACAGAAGGCACGGGACCCAAGUGCAAUUCCAUUGACACCAAGUUCUAGAACAGAUGGAAUAGUGUGGAUGGAGUACAUUUCCCACUAAGAACAGUUAAAAGCCCUGGACAUUGUAUAUGAAACAAACAAGAGAAAACUGUGAAAGGCAGAGAGAAGAAGACAACUGACUAAGGACCUUGGGAUCUGAGGAAUGACAGGACAAUGAGUUCUCCGUGUUGUUUUUUUGUUUGUGUGUUUGGUUUGUUUGUUUGUCUUGCCUCAUAUAUCUUAGGCUAGAGAAGCUGGCAAACUAGAAACACCACAGGAACAAAUUUUUUAAAAACCCCAAGAAAUGCCUGCUCUCACUAGCUAAAGGACUGGGAAAGGGGCAACGUAGACAACUUUUAGACCAGUAACUACCCUAUUCUAGCCAAACCCUGCAGAAAAAAAAUGUGACCUCACCCCUGUCCCAGUCAGCAAAGGCUGAAAAGAGGGACUCCCACCUUCACCCUUUUGUUAGAAGGCAUCACUCAUGACCCCUCUAACCCCUGCUGGGGUGAUGUCAGAGAAGGCCAAGUGGGGAGCCAGCACUUUCAUCCUGGCCUAGUUGACAGGUGACUAGCAAAAACAAAACAAACAAAACAACCCAACCAUGUGGAAGUGUAUUAUGCCAGGUUAAAAAAAAAAAAAAAAGCCAGUCUCAAAAGGUCAUAUACUGUAUGCUUCCAUUAUAUAACAUCCUUGAAUAACAAAACUAUAGAGAUGGAAAACAGAUAGUGGUUGCCAGGGGUUAGAGAUAGUGGGGAUGGGGGAGGGGUAGGUGUGACUAUGAAGGAAGUUCAUGAGGGAGAUCUUUGUGGUAAGGGAAUAGUUCUGUAUCUUGAUGCUGGUGAUAGUUAUGGGAAACUGCACAUGUGAUAAAGUGGCACAGAACUAUACACACAUAUUGUACCAAUACCAAUUUCCUGGUUUUGACAUUGUACUAUAGUUACAAGUUUAUAGCUUUUUUAUAAGUUACAGUUAUAAGAUGUAACCAUUGGGGGGAAAUGCGUGAAGGGUACAAAGGACUUUUCUGUACAGUUUUUACAACUUCCUAUGAAUUUAUAAUUAUUUCAAAAUAAAAAGUUAAAAAAGUUAUCCUU